GGAAGACUGGCUGCGAGCCGCGGAGAACGGAUACGGCUCUCGCUCGCUGUUUGCGUGUCCCCCCUCCCCCCCCCCCUUCAUUUAUUUAUUUAUUUUUCUGUGAAUGGAGGGCAGGCGGUGACAGCUGCGCACGUACCGCGCCCUCUGCCCGGCCUGAAGACUGUGGAGUUCUUCCAAGAAUUUUUCAAUUUCCACAGAUGAAAAUAUAGUCUAAACCAGAUGCCAGCUGAAACGCACUCACUUCGUACCACCUCGCCAAGGCAGCGCGCCACGGGCUCAGCAAUGUGACCUUUAAAAUGGCCUUUCUAGAACACACUGCUAAGAGCACUUUCUAAAAAGCCACAAUUGCAGCUACUCUUAUUACUCAUAAUGUCUUUGAUGGAGAGGAAUACUCAGGGAACUUCAGCUUCAGCAACCCGGUAGAGUCAGUUCUGUGCAGCGGAGGCUUCCUUCGUGGCAUUACAGACUUGAGACCACGAUGAGAGCGUUGGUGAUAAUGAACAUUUCCUAAAGCAUUACUUGUAUAAGAUUAAAAUGAAAUAAAAGCAGUGAAACCUUUGCUUUGCCCAUGUGAAAGAAUGGCUCUGCCACUUAGCCAUUCGUUCCUAGAAGUGGAUAUGUAUACCUGUGCCUUCUCCAUGUAUUUGUAAGUCUAACAAAUAUUAUACACACAAAUAUACACCAAUGUUAUGCAAAAUGCAUUCAGGCAAUGUAUUUCAAAUCAAUGAAUAUUUUGAGUCAUCAGCCUAAAUGGUGUUUGUAGAUGCAUAAUUGCAUGCUACUUUCUGGGAUUUUUUGUAGUAUUCUGAGUGGCGCUGAGCCGCCACUUCAUUAAAACUGUCCCUUGGGAUCCAAUUCUUUGGGUUUGUUUUUGCAUGUGCCAGGAAAUUUGGACCCUGAUUUCUGUAUGGCCACCACUGCCAUGCUGGUGCACUGCCGGCCGGCGGCACUGUGUGGCACUGCAUGGCCCUGGUGGGCACAGGGAGCAGAAUAACAUGAGAUCCAGUUUGCUUUGGUCAGUCUGGGAGAGACUUCACAGCAGCAGUGAUGGGACACUUUAGAGUUGGCUGAGUGGAGUUUUCCUAUCAUUUCUGAACCUUCUGUCCUUAAACUGAUUCAACUAAAUAUGUGACAUUUUGAGGAAAACUUGCCCUGUGUCUUUAGCUUCUUUCAUACCAGACAGGGUGGGAACAAGAUAAGUUUGCUUAAAAGCCUUUGUUUUCACUCACUUCUCUACUUGCUUGGUGUCCCAACACACUGGUAUUCAGAUUUGUCACCUCACAGGGCCUUGGUUCUGCCAGAACUCCUGCCUCUGGCUACCAGCAGUGGGAUAUUGAAGGGUUUGAGCUGCUGUCAUCAAGCAGCAACAAACUUACUGCUUUAAUCAGCUCCUUUCCAUGCGAGAUACAACUUGCUGAGCUCCGUGGUUCCUAGAGGUAAUGCCUCAUUUCCAAAAACUCCUGUUUCUGACCAUUGCUGUGGUUUCCCUGGAGUGGGACAGCCAUCCUUGCUCAGUCCCUGCCCCAUCAUUGCCCUGCCCAGCAAUACAGGGCCAGAAGCCCCACUCCCACUUCUCCUUGCACAGCCUUUGGUGGCUCAUGGGACUGCGCUGGCACUGCUGCUCUGUGCCAUGUGGUGACAGGGCUGUUAUUCCAGAGCAACCGGAUGGGGACCACCAAUUUAGUUCUCACAGACCAUGGCUUCUGGCUCUUCGAGAGCAUUGUUUUGACACUGGCAGGAAAAAAUUAGGCCAUUGUCUUUGCUCCCAUGAAAUUUCCUGUCCUCUCUUUAUGAGGUGUGUGGCUGCACAAAGUGCCUUUCUGCUCCCGCAGCAGCGAAUCUUGACACCCACAGCUUGGGCUGGUGUCCCAGGGUGGGUUUUCUUUCCGGGUUGAUUUGGGAUUUUUGCCCACGGAAAAUGAAUGAAUGAACAAAUAAUUUGCAGCUGUCCGAAUGGCCGUAACAUCUCCGCGCUCUGCCCAGAGCUCUGGAAAUGGAUAUCAGAGCUGCUCAGGGCUUUGAUGCAGUCUCUGCACCUGGGCUAUGCUCUGGGUCUGGCAUAUCCCCGUGUGCUGUCACUGCCCUAACACAGUGCAGUCAAGGCUCUGGUAUCCUCUGUUCAAAUAACUCAUCUUCUGCAGUGUGCACACUAUGCAACUCAGCAUUCCCUGUUUGAUAAUGAAGGUCAAACCCAAAAGCAACUGGUCAAUUUUGGUCUCAUCCUUUUUAUUCCUAACAAAGAAGCAGCAGUACCUGCAGGCCCAGAGCGUGGUGUAAGCUGGUGUGAUGCUCUCCUUUGCUGUGUGUAAGGACUGCUGAUGCCAGCAGGUAUCUGGUGCAGAUGAGUGCAUUCACAUGGAAGCCCAUGUGCAGCUCUGCUGUGCCGGGUAAUUGUGGGUCACUUGGUUGGCUCUGUAAGGUCUCACCAUGUAGGAAUAAGCACUCAAAGGAGCGGACAUUUGCCUGCUUUCCAUACUACAGGCAUCAUUAAGGGCUUUGUUUUCUUUUUUAUCAGGCUCUGUAUAGAAUUUUCAAU
ensembl:lncRNA